GUGUAAGAUGAAGCUUAGGAAUGAUGAGCCAAGCUGAAGUCUGACCCAGGCCCGGUCCAAGUAUAGUCCAUACUGUUGCUCAGAGAGCGGGUUGGAACCGGUUACCAUAACCACAAACCGGGUCGAAUAUAAUUGGCCCAUUAAUCAAGUUGGGCAUUUGGCAUUAUCUCAGUUGUCCUCUCCAACUUUCCCGGUGGUCAUUACCCACAACUCUGCCAUGGCGGCAGCCACUGCUCCACAUGCGCCUGCACAGGCGCCCAAUCCCCUUUCGCCACGCAAUCACUGUGGGUGCCUUCCGGCGCGGCGACUUUGACAGUUUCGCUAGGGAUGCGUGGUGCAACGCUAACGACGGCUUUGAAGUGAACAGUUGAUAUUUGAGGCCAAGAAGACCACCGAGUAUUGAACGCUGAUACUCCGUGUCCCGCCUCCUUACUUCUGUAGCCCAAUCUGCCGCUGACCUCGCUCUUGAGAUUGAUAGAGAGCUGGAGAUUGGUGUUCAGUGGCGCACAUUUUCCAUAGAUUUUGUUAGAAAUUGGCCUAGGGUUUGUCCUUUCUGUUAUAUGCUUCUGGUUUCAACAUUAAUUCCCUAAAUUGUCCAAAUUUGUUGGGAAAGGAAGUUCAUUUUCAUCCAAUAUCCGUGUCAAACUCAUUCCUGGUGGAUUAUUAUUGUUUGUUUCUCAGCCUCUAGGUGUUACCAAUUUAUUGGAAACUAUCUCCUCCUCCAAAUGACAGCAAAAACAGAGUUAAUACCGUUUGCUUGAAUUCGGUUUAUUGGUGUUGCUUAUCUUACCAUCAUUGUUGUUAUUCUUGCUGUACAGGAGGCAGCUUAAUGAUUUUCUGGAUACCCCAUUAGGAAGGAGUUUUGCUUGGUUCGCUGGCCUUUUAUAUCAAAAUUUGGCAGGGGGCUUGCCCAGCAUGUAAGAGGCAGUUUGUUGGUUAAAAAAACCAAAUAAUUCAUUGUGCUACUUGUGGUAACAUUGUGUGGCGGCCAGAAGAGACUUUUUGCAAGAGGUGAUGGUAGAGGUAAAAACUGAUCAGUGUUGAGUUUGAGUACAAAUGACGAGAUAUGCUUGAUGGAUGGUAGUGGUUCACUUUACGCAGACUCUGGUCUUUGGAAAAAAUAGUGUUUAGUCUAUGCACUAGAUGUUUAGACCUCAAGCUUUGUCAUUCGUAGAUAGCUUUCUCAUCUUCUGGGUCCUCCUCUAGGAUAGUUGAAUUAUUUCCAUUUGUAUACUUUCGUACACCCAGUUUAGAAACUAAAUUACCAGACUUGAAAAAUGUACAAUACCCUUUGUUCAUAAAUCAUGGCAGAAUAACUUUUCCUUAC